rnacentral:rRNA from 1 species
GUGUGAAACUUAGUGGCGACGGGGUGAGUAACGCGUGAGCAACCUGCCUUACAGAGGGGGACAACAUCGGGAAACUGAUGCUAAUACCGCAUGAUAUUGUUUUGCCGCAUGACAGAACAAUCAAAGAUUUAUCGCUGUAAGAUGGGGCUCGCGUCCGAUUAGGUAGUUGGUGAGGUAAACGGGCUUCACCAAGGCCGACGAUCGGUAGCCGGACUGAGAGGUUGAAACGGCCACAUUGGGACUGAGACACGGCCCAGACUCCUACGGGAGGCAGCAGUGGGGAAUAUUGGCACAAUGGGCGCAAGCCUGAUGCAGCAACGCCGCGUGAGGGAAGAAGGUUCUUCGGAUUGUAAACCUUUGUUUUUAGUGAAGAAAAAAAUGACGGUAGCUAAAGAGGAAGCCACGGCUAACUACGUG